AGCCCCGCCCCUGCGCGCCGCCUCAGCGGCGCCUUCAAGACGCUGGUCCCAGGCACCCACGCCCAGGGCGCCUCGGAUACCCACCCCCUCGGCCCCCCGCACACCCCGGUCCUCGACCCCUCUCCGCAGGAUGGUGAGGCCCGUGCGGCCCGCUCGCUCUGGCCUACAGCGGCUGCGAGGACGACAAGACGCUGGGGUGGAGGGACUGGGGGUCGGGAGAAGAGCGGCUGAGGGUGGGCAUCUGGAUGAAGGCAGGAGGAAGAAAAGAGGCGUGGCUAUGGGCGGCCAGAAAAGAUCCUAGGCCGAGACCCUAGGCCCAGCCUCAGUGUACCCCGCCCCUAUUCCGCAUCUUUCUGCAGGUUUCCCGGUCCUCUGGCGAGGAUCCUCCAAGGCGUCUCACAUGAACCGGCUCAGAAACGCCAAAAUCUACGUGGAGAGAGCUGUCAAGCAGAAGAAGAUCUUUACAAUCCAAGGCUGCUACCCGGUGAUCCGGUGUCUCUUGCGCCGGAGGGGCUGGGUGGAGAAGAAGAUGGUCCAUCGCUCAGGCCCCACCCUGCUGCCACCCCAGAAGGAUCUGGAUAGCUCAGCGAUGGGUGACAGUGACACCACUGAGGAUGAGGAUGAAGAUGAGGACGAGGAGUUCCAGCCAUCACAGCUGUUCGACUUCGAUGAUUUACUGAAAUUUGAUGACCUAGAUGGAACACAUGCUCUGAUGUCCCGCAUGGUCCAGAAUGAGAUCCCCUACUUCAUCUGGACCACUCGGCGGGAUGUGCUCGACUGUCGCUUCCUCUCCAAGGAUCAGAUGAUAAACCACUACGCCCGGGCUGGCUCCUUUACCACAAAGGUGGGUCUAUGUCUCAAUCUCCGGAAUUUGCCGUGGUUUGAUGAGGUUGAUGCCAACUCCUUCUUCCCACGCUGCUACUGCCUGGGGGCUGAGGAUGACAAAAAAGCCUUCAUAGAGACGGGGUUUCACUGUGUUAGCCAGGAUGGUCUCGAUCUCCUGACCUCAUGAUCCAUCCACCUCAGCCUCCCAAAGUGCUGGGAUUACAGGCGUCAGCCACCGUGACCAGCCUGAAACAGGAGCAAGUUCUAAACUCAGGCUCUAGAGUCAGAAAAGGUAGAGUCAGGUUCUGGAUCCAAAAUGGGGCAAGUCAUGAUCAGGUUCUGGAACCAGAACAGGCCUCAAGCCUAGGGGCUGAGCAGGGUAUCCCCUGGCCUGGGAGCAGAGGACUUCUGGCUGACUGCUGCCCGCAACGUUCUCAAGCUGGUGGUGAAGUCUGAGUGGAAGUCAUACCCUAUUCAGGCAGUAGAGGAAGAGGCCUCAGGAGACAAGCAGCCCAAGAAACAGGAGAAAAACCCAGUGUUGGUGUCCCCAGAGUUUGUGGAUGAAGCUCUGUGUGCGUGCGAGGAGUACCUUAGCAACUUGGCCCACAUGGACAUCGACAAGGACCUGGAGGCCCCGCUGUACCUCACCCCCGAGGGCUGGUCCCUCUUCCUCCAGCGCUACUACCAAGUGGUCCACGAAGGGGCAGAACUCAGGCACCUCGACACUCAGGUCCAGCGCUGUGAGGACAUCCUGCAGCAGCUGCAGGCCGUGGUACCCCAGAUAGACAUGGAAGGGGAUCGCAACAUCUGGAUCGUGAAGCCAGGAGCCAAGUCCCGCGGACGAGGCAUCAUGUGCAUGGACCACCUGGAGGAGAUGCUGAAGCUGGUGAACGGCAACCCCGUGGUGAUGAAGGACGGCAACUCAGUGCACCUGUGCAACAACUCCAUCCAGAAGCACCUGGAGAACUCAUGCCAUCGGCAUCCACUGCUUCCGCCAGACAACAUGUGGUCUAGCCAGAGGUUCCAGGCCCACCUGCAGGAGAUGGGUGCCCCAAAUGCUUGGUCCACCAUCAUCGUGCCUGGCAUGAAGGAUGCUGUGAUCCACGCACUUCAGACCUCCCAGGACACCGUGCAGUGUCGGAAGGCCAGCUUUGAGCUCUAUGGCGCUGACUUCGUGUUCGGGGAGGACUUCCAGCCCUGGCUGAUUGAGAUCAACGCCAGCCCCACGAUGGCACCCUCCACAGCAGUCACUGCCCGGCUCUGUGCUGGCGUGCAAGCUGACACCCUGCGCGUGGUCAUUGACCGGAUGCUGGACCGCAACUGUGACACAGGAGCCUUUGAGCUCAUCUAUAAGCAGCCCGUCACCACUUCCCCAGCCUCCACACCAAGGCCCAGCUGCCUUCUCCCCAUGUACUCCGACACCAGGGCCAGGUCCUCAGACGACAGCACAGCAAGCUGGUGGGCACUAAGGCCCUGUCGACCACAGGCAAGGCCUUGAGGACUCUACCCACGGCUAAGGUCUUCAUUUCCCUCCCACCGAACCUUGAUUUCAAGGUGGCACCCAGCAUCCUGAAGCCAAGAAAGGUGGGCCUCGACCUGUGACUCACACCCAGUGGACAGUGCUGAGCACGGGGUCAGGGCUGGAGGGCACAGGCAGAGGGCAGCUCCCAGGCUGGCUGGCACCCCAAGGGAAGAGCUGGUCUCCCUCAGAAGCCCCUUCCUCCACAGACUUCUGAUCAUCUCCCUCUUCUCCCCUCCUUUCACACCGAGGCUCCUGCUCUCCUGUGCCUCCGAGGCCCCCAGCUGGAAGUGCCUUGUUGCCUCUGCCCUUUGAAGUCGGAACAAUUCCUAGCACCUGUCGGAAGGUCAAGGCCAAAGGCAAAUUCAAGGCCAGACUGUGACAAACCCAGGGCUGAGGCCUGCCCCAUGAAGAGGCUGAGCCCCCUGAAACCCCUGCCCCUUGUUGGUACAUUCCAGAGGCGCAGGGGCCUGGGGGAUAUGAAGCUAGGGAAGCCCCUGCUUCGAUUCCCCACUGCCCUUGUCCUGGAUCCAACACCAAAUAAAAAGAAACAAGUGAAGUAUUUGGGGCUUGACUCCAUUGCUGUUGGAGGGUCAAGAGUGGAUGGGGCGAGGCCGUGUACCCCAGGGUCCACAGCAAGAGCCUGAGGCCAUCAGCAGCUCCUCCGUGCAGCGAGGCCCAGAAUUCCCACCUAAGGACAGACAUGGGGCUUCCUAUUUAGGGACUCCCCCAGCAUCUCCGAUCCAGGGGUGGGGAGCGUGAGCCUUCACUUUACAGAUGAAGAAACUGAGUCUGAAAGAGGAGGCAUGGCUUACCCAAGAUCACGUGGCAGUGAGUCGACGCAGGGACAUAUUGCCAGAACUGCCGAGCACUGGGAGCCCCCCAACCCCAGAGAACAAGCCAAGCUAGCAGAAUGACACCUACCGGGCAUAGGAACGUUAAUGCCAUGAGACAGGGGAAGGAAUUGGCCUUGCCUAAACCUCAGCCCUUCUGCAGAGGGCAUGGGUCUAUCCCUUCUUCAGCAAGGGGCCAAGGUCACCUAAAAAUGAAACAUCCAAUAAGCCACACCCACCUGAAGAAAAGUGUGGCACUGCUUAGUUGUAGUGGGUUGAACUGUGGUCCCCUGAAAAGAGAUGUCUACUUGGACCCUGUGAAUGUGACCUUAUGUGGGAAAAGAGUCUUUGUAGCUGGGUAUGGUGGCUCACACCUGUUAUCCCAGCACUUUGAGAGGCCAAGGCAGGAGAUCGCUUGAGCCCGCAAGUUCAAGACCAGUCUGGGCAACAUGGUGAAACCGUUUCUACAGAAAAUUAGCUGGGUGUGGUGGCACACACCUGUAGUCCUAGCUACUCGGGAGGCCUAGGUGGGAGGAUUACCUGAGCCUGGGAAGAUCAAAACUGUGGUGAGCUGUGAUCACGCCACUGCGCUCUGAGCCUGGGAGACAGAGUGAAACCCUAAAUCAAAAAAAAAAAAAAAGGUCUUUGCAGAUGUAAAUAAAUUUAAGAUCUUAAAUGAGAUAAUCCCAA